rnacentral:rRNA from 1 species
CCUACGGGAGACAGCAGUGGGGAAUAUUGCACAAUGGGGGAAACCCUGAUGCAGCGACGCCGCGUGAGUGAAGAAGUAUUUCGGUAUGUAAAGCUCUAUCAGCAGGGAAGAAAAUGACGGUACCUGAUUAAGAAGCCCCGGCUAACUACGUGCCAGCAGCCGCGGUAAUACGUAGGGGGCAAGCGUUAUCCGGAUUUACUGGGUGUAAAGGGAGCGGAGACGGCAGCACAAGUCUGGAGUGAAAGGCCGGGGCUUAACCCCGGAACUGCUUUGGAAACUGUGCAGCUAGAGUGCAGGAGAGGUAAGUGGAAUUCCUAGUGUAGCGGUGAAAUGCGUAGAUAUUAGGAGGAACACCAGUGGCGAAGGCGGCUUACUGGACUGUAACUGACGUUGAGGCUCGAAAGCGUGGGUAGCAAACAGGAUUAGAUACCCUUGUAGUC